rnacentral:lncRNA from 1 species
UCAAAUCUCUCUGCUUCCUUCUUAUAAGGACCCUUGUGUUGCACGUAGGGCCCGCCCGGAUAACCCAGGAGACUCUCAUCGCAAAGUGGGGAGUGAGAAAGAGGACAUUCGGGGUGACCUCAAGGUUUCUAAGUUGAGCUGGGUGAAUGCUGUCACCAGUCAUGCGGGCAAGGGACACUGGAGGAGGGACCCAGGCCUAAGGGUGUUGUGUAGAAAUAAAGAUAUUAAAAAAAAGAGAGAGAGAGGGAGUUUGGCUUUGGGCACAUUUUGCCUGAAUGAAUGAAAAAGAACAAACCAAACCAACAAACACAGGAUAAAGUGAAGUCUGGCUCAGGAACCCACCUUCGGAGAUGGGCAGGCAGCUCAGUCCACUUUGACUCUUCCCAGGUGAUCUCCUAUUUUCCCGAAGAACCACAGCCAUGUUACCUUUCCUGAGCAGCAGAGAGGCAGUGCUGAAGAAAAGAAGGUAUGGGAGGAUACAAUCCAUCUACCUGAUUGCCAUGGAACUCCCCUGAGUCACAAGAAUGGGAAUUUCAGAUGUGAAUUAAAGAUGGCCAAGUGUGGUGGCAUCCUUGAAAAAAAAAUCCCUUACGUGUCUUUAGAAUCAGAAGACCAGAGAAUUUAGGGAAGAAAGAAUACAUUUCUUCUGUAUGUUCUAACUUCUUCCUAAAUAAUUUUUAGAUUAUGUAUCGUCUCCAUCUGACUUGUUGACCUUUAGAUGACUAUUGCAUGACAGGCGUUUAAUAGAUUGAGGCAAAUAUUCCACAGGGUUCUGCAACCCUAUGACAUACAUUUUAGAGUACGACAUACCCCAGCUCGGAUUCAUUUUUGGGCCAUAAACAUGUCUGUACAGUACAUUGAAUCUGUUGCAAUUUAACAUUUGAGAAAAUCUGUCUGUUUACUUUGUAGUGAAUUCUGUACAUUUCACUGAAAACUGAGGCUCUCUGAAAACCCACAUCUCCCAUGGGCACUAAUUCACACUGCAUUCACAUUCUGGAAAUAUAAAAUCCUAAAUGCUUGCUGACUGCAAAUCAGUCUUCCUAACCCAAGUAUUAAUAGCUGCAUGAAAUCUUAAUACUUCUCCAUCGAUUACCACCCUUCACUUGGGUUUAGCAUCCAUUUCAGGGGG